rfam:Dipodomys ordii contig_71807, whole genome shotgun sequence.
GGUGGCUCAGUGGUAGAGAGCUUGCCUUGCAUGCAUGAGGCCCAGGUUCAAUUCCUAAACACCA